AGGCCAGACUCCUACGGGAGGCAGCAGUGGGGGAUAUUGCACAAUGGGGGAAACCCUGAUGCAGCGACGCCGCGUGAGUGAAGAAGUAAUUCGUUACGUAAAGCCCUAUCGGCAGGGAAGAAGGAGGACGGUACCUGACUAAGAAGCCCCGGCUAACUACGUGCCAGCAGCCGCGGUAAUACGUAGGGGGCAAGCGUUAUCCGGAUUUACUGGGUGUAAAGGGGGCGCAGACGGCAGCGCAAGCCAGGAGUGAAAGCCCGGGGCCCAACCCCGGGACUGCUCUUGGAACUGCGCGGCUGGAGUGCAGGAGGGGCAGGCGGAAUUCCUGGUGUAGCGGUGAAAUGCGUAGAUAUCAGGAGGAACACCGGUGGCGAAGGCGGCCUGCUGGGCUUUUACUGACGCUGAGGCUCGAAAGUGUGGGGAGCAAACAGGAUUAGAUACCCCGGUA
rnacentral:rRNA from 1 species